CGUGGGGGAGCAUGGUGCCGCCGCACGCCCAUUGUACUUCAUCAGGUGCUCUGGUGAUAAUGGUUCCAGGCGCUUGUUGGAGUACACUUACCGUGUCGGCGGUUUUCGUCGGAAGGCACU
rnacentral:pre_miRNA from 12 species